rnacentral:lncRNA from 1 species
UGAAGACUAGCCCUCAGCACCAGGGCCAGAAACCAGCUGUCCUGACCCUCCAGAUUGCCACUGCCCCUGGGGAAGCACUGUGAGGUGUCAGAGGGUAGGGCAGGGCGGCUUCAGAGGCAUGGGGAGGUUGGCGAGGUGAUGAGGAAGAUCUCGUGCCCUCUUCCCACCACUGUCCAGAGGGCCCCGAGGCCUGGAAUGGGCCACAUAUGGACAAGGUGAUGCAGGGGGUCAGCAAUGGGCAUGACCAGGAACCCAGGCUCGGGCCAUCCAGCUGGAUCAUCCAGUCUACGGCACAGACAGAGGGGCAGAGCGAGCACACCCCGAAGAGGAAGCGGAGCCACCUCAGAGACUGUUGUUACAGACAGGACCCGGGACCUCAGAGACUCUCUACAGCAGGAGAGGGCCCAGGGGAAGGCGCUGCCACAUCCAGUGUGUUUCAUGCUCUGGGCAGAGAGCCCCGCACCCGGACUUAGAGACCUAGAGAGAGGCAGAAGGUGUGUGAGACACUCGGAGGAAGGAGAGCGCCAAGAGGGAGAGAGCCGGGGCCACCGGGACACCGCCCCGGAGCCUGGGCCGGGAGGGCGCGGGGCCGCCCGCUCAUCGCGCUGCAGAGGAGAGACGAAAUGAAUAUGCAGCGCGGGCUGUAAUUGGGCCGCCGCGGCCGCCGCCGCCGCCGCCGCACUAUAAUUUUCCAAACAGGAUCUUGCAAUCAGGGCCUUAUUCAUUAGCGCAUAAACAAUUUUGUUUCUCGG